CUAAAUCAAUGUAAAUAGUGGAGUAGGGUGGUGUUAUUAUGAUGAAAUUGUGAGUGUAGUGUUAAAAAUAGAAUGUAGGGUAUUUGUUUAUUUAUAACUUUUUUAAGCAAAGUAUAAGGGAGGUGGCAGUAGGUGGCGGUAAUGCAACAUUUAUUGGAUGCCGACUGCCGUUAAACCUCAUCGAAGAAGACGGAAAGGAAGAGGAAAAGAGAGGAUCAACUCGGCGGCAAAUCUGUCUCCCCCAGCAGGUCGCGGUUUUUUUUCGUUGUUUCGCCCACCAAGCAAGUCGUUUUGUAUGUAGGUCAAUGACAAUGUCGAAUUUGGUCAACUAAAAUAUGAAUGCUUUAUAUGCUACGUGAGAUUAAUUUGAUCGAAUAGAAGUUUCGUAAUGCUUUAAUUGUUAUGAGUGUACAGAUAUAAGUAGGACACGUGACAUCCCGGCAACUUUGAGAAACAACACUUUUUUAUUGGAGUUGCCUCGAGAUGACAUGCAUAUUCAUGUGAUGAGGCAGUAGCAUAGCAUAGAAAGGAUAGGCGGGAACUAGACAGCCCCUUUGUGGACAACAACUUCCAUUUUUAGGGCAGAGAGACAUGUAGUAUCUUGUCAGUAUAUCCAUUAUCUUUGGCUAAAUACAAACGACAUAAUCCCGUGUUGAAAUGGGUUGAGAUUACGUCAACUAAGAAACAAUAUAUUUUUUUAGCCACACCUAUCAGUCAUUGAGAUAUAUAUGAAUAAUUAUAUGUUCGUGGAUUUCAUUGUUUUUUUUUAGCUCGGUAAGUAACGUUAGCCAUAGAAGUAGCUUGGGCAGGGUUGUUGUUAUUGUGCUCGUGCAUUCUAAAUAGCUACCUAGUUACUUGAUUGAUCAUUUAUUAUCUGAGUUAAUUCAGGGCACGAGAGGGGUUGGAAAUGUGACAUUUCGCAAUGCCUAAUUUUACACACCCAUCAUGUAUAGCUAGCUUUUCAGACAAUAUGCUGAACAAUAGACAAUUCAGUUGUGUCGCAUGACGUUUUUAUUUGUAUUAUUUGGUUACCCCUGAAUAGCACGUAACGUUAGCGAGUCUACAUUUUAUUUUCAAACAGACUUUGUAGUGUAUUGGGCUAGGCUUGGUGCUGGUUAGUGAAGGGUUAAGUGCUAUAUACAUUACCUAACAACGUUAGCUAAUUUUGAUUCUGAGAAAAUAUUGCUGUUCUUUCAACAGUUCUCUCAUUUUAGGUAUUCCAACAUUAGGUUUACAGUGUUAAUGUUCCUACUACCUGCACCAGAACACUGCUUCUUAGUUAGGCUAUUUUUUUGUGUGCAUAAUCUCUCAUUACUUUGUAGGUGUAAACUGUAUUUACAUUGGAAUCAUAUUAUUAUACUGAACAAAAAUAUAAAUGCAACAAUAAGGAAAUCAGUCAAUUUAAAUAAAUGAACUAGGCCCUAAUCUAUGGAUUGGGCAUGUGCGCAGCCAUGGGUGGGCCUGGGAGGACAUGGGCCGACCCAAUUGGGAGCUGGGCCCACCCACUGGGGAGCCAGGCCCAGCCAAUCAGAAUCAGGUUUUCCCCACAAAAGGGCUUUAUUACAAACACAAAUACUCCUCAAUUUCAUCAGCAGCCCUGAUGGCUGGUCUCAGACAGUCCCGCAGUUGUAGAAGCUGGAGGUGGAGAUCCUGGGCUGGCAUGGUUACACGUGGUCUGCGGUUGUGAGGCCGGUUGGACGUACUGCCAAACUCUCUAAAACGACGAUGGAGGUGGCUUAUGGUAGGGAAAUGAAUGUUAAAUUCUCUAGCAACAGCUCUGGGUGGACAUACCUGCAGUCAGCAGGCCAAUUGCACACUACCUCAAAAUCUGUGACAUUGUAUUGUGACAAAACUGCACAUUUUAGUGGAUUUUUAUUCUCCCCAGCUCAAGGUUAAUAUGCCACACCUGUCAGGUGGAUGGAUUAUUUUGUCAAAGGAGAAAUGCUCACUAACAGGGAUGUAAACAAACUUGUGCACAAAAUUGGAGAGAAAUAAGCUUUUUGUGUGUAUGGAACAUUUCUGUGGAAAAAGAGUUCGGCUCAUGAAACAUGGGACGAACACUUUACAUGUUGUGUUUUAUAUUUUUGUUCACUAUACAUCUAACAUAACCAUACACAUUGCUUGUCUGAAACAGUAAAAAAAAAUCCAGAGUCCAGACUAGUACAACACCCAGCCUAAAUUUGGCAACUGUUGCAAAGUCUGAGGUUGAAAAACCUUUCUCUGUUGUAAAGCAGCAUCAUUUGUAAAAAUUGUUAUUGGUAAGUCCAUUUUGUCUCCCCUCCAGCCAUGACUCUGAGCAUGUCUCCGGCUGCGGUGUGCCAGUGCUUUACGCUGGUGUCACUGUGCACAUCCAUCGCCGACCCAAACUGGAUCCAAGUCAUCAACAACACUGACCCCGGAGGCAAACAGCUCAUCUAUGGUGUGGCUUUCAUACUGCAUGCGCCCCAGAACCUCACUGACACAGGUCCCCUGGGUGGCAUAAAUGGCUGGGGGGUGUGGCUGCUCUAUGCCCUGGCGGCUCUGUGCUACAGUGCUGUCCUGCUCUCCAGCUCCUCCUUCCUAUUGGACUUCCUGGGGACUGGGAUGUCCCACCCUCGACUGGUGGUGUUACUCCACAUCUCCACAGUGGUUCUCCUCCUGUCUGUUCUGGGAGUUUGUGGGGCCUGCCUGUACAUCAUCCACUGCAACCUUCAGGAGGGCAAGUUUGGGCCACUGUGGGAAUGGGUAGGGGGCUGGACCUGGCCUGGGUCUGGCUCCAGGAGCCAGGGAGGGGCGGCGGGGAUGAAGCCUUACCCAGGGGAGAGCUUCUACAUCACCAUGCUGGGCCUGCUCUUCUCCUGCCUGGCCGGUGUGAGCAGCCUGGGGGACCCCACCUCCACCCAGAGGGACUACACAGCUGUGGUGGAGUGGGACGACAGUGACACAGAGCCCCUUACCCCCAGGGAGCAGGGAGUGGGACAGUCUGAUGAAGAGGAGGGGGUAGGAGACGUGUUGCCUGAACUGACUCAGGGGGAGGUGGGUGGAAGUGGAGACUGCUAAAGGGGUUUGAAUGUGUGGCCCAAAAGGCUUAGUUUCGGACUAGAAUGCAAACCACACCACACAUGGCCUGUAACAGACUUAAUUAGACAGCAGUGCUGGCGCCUUCCCUGGUCAUGUUUUGAAUUCCUAAAGCUUCACUGGACCAAGCUGGUGGAAUCCAGUCAGGAGCCAAAAAAGAGACCAGAUACGUUUCCUAAUGUUGUUUUAAUGUUUGUCUGCCUAAAACAUGCCUUCUCGGGGUAUGUACAGUUGCACAACAUCAAGUCAAUAACCCAUUUAUGGGUUUAAAAAAAAAAAUCCCUUGUGGGAGUUUAUGCCCAGCGUCUCACACUUGACUCCACCAAUAUAAAUCGUUCUUUGGCUAGCUGUGAUAUUUGGAAAAGUGUGACAAGAAUGUAACGCGGUUAAGCUAUUUCUGUCUGUGUGUGACCAGGGAAAGUGAGAGUCUGUAUGUUAUAAUCGAUGUGUGACACAAAUUAUAUGCCCUUCCUGCUCAUCAAUGGGAACAAGCUUUGACCCUGUUCACAUUACUGCAAAAUAACCACUGGGGAAUGUUCCGGAUCAGCGAAUGGUUUGUUACCAUCAGAACCAGAAAAUAUGUUCAAUGAACAGAAGUUCAGACUGCUCAACAUUGCGAUCCUAACAUAGCUCAUGUUUGUACAAUCACCUAGUCUCCUCUUCUAGUUAACAUAAAAAUCCCUAGAUUAAGGUUUUUCUGAUUCUUUUAACAGGUUGUUUUUUAACCUAUGCAUUAUUUUAACUUCUUAAACCCUUUGCACAGUCUUCCAUAGUGACACUUUAAGUUUCCCAAAUGGUGGAAACAAAUCACAGAUUUCUAUGGAAGAUUUACCUGAAGUGUACUGAAACUGGAGUUUCCUUUGAGAAAUUCAAUUUAAAAAGCCCAUUUUGGCUUCUAUUAUGGCCGCUAUAGCUUUAAUCACAAAUUGAGGAACUAUAUAUUAGCAUGGUUGUUUACUACAAUAGGAAAGAUUGAGUGGGGAUAGGAAGUCUUUCCUUUCCACAGUAGGUAGUGUAAAUACAUGGUUCUUGCUUUAAAUGACUUGCUAUCUAAUCAUAUUUGAAUAUGACGUAUUAAAUAUUUGAUGUACUUAAAUAUUUGUUUCAUAAAAUGACACUGCUAUUGGUCACUAGAUACUUCAGAUCACUGUGAAAAUAUAUCCCGGUUUGGCAUCUUUAGACGUCUACAUUACAGCACAAACCACUGUAUGUAUGCUUAUCCUACUUGAAGGUAACCAAUAAGACAAGCUACUUGAUGGUGCUUGGUUGCAUGUGAUGGUAGGACCAUGGAUAUUGACUUGAUAAAUUAAGAUGGCUGCCUAGAAUCAGGUUUUCCUUACCCGCUUAUACCCUCAAGGCCUGUUUCCUGGACAUAGAUUAAUCUUUGUCCUGGACUAGGAAACAUUUUCAAUGGAGAUUAUGUUUUUAGUUCAAGACUAGGCUUAAUAUGUGUCCGGGAAACCGUCAAUCUUUUCCUCAGGUACAUAGGAAGACAUUCCUUCUCUUAUUCCAGGGUCACAGUCCCAUCUCUAUGAAUCAGACUUCUCAUUGUUGUUGUUUAUGAUGCUAUUUAUUCAUUAAACUAUUUUUGCGUAUUUGUAAAACAUGUGUACAUGCAUUUUCUUUCUGUUCCAGAACAGAAGUGUCCAGUCCAGUUACUCUCAUUCCCACUCAUCUGCUGUAUGUGUUGGUGUCCGUCAUCUCUGCCUCCUAUAGGUUAAUUUCCAACCAACAUCAUCAGGAAAUGGUCUUCAUCCAAAACCACAAGAUGACCACACAUGACCAGAGAUGGAGUCAAUUUAGCCGAGCAGCUCACAGGAAGGACAGGAAGAGGAGAGGAGUUGUCUGGUUGUUGUUUUGACCUCCCUCAUUAUACCUUUCCUUUCACACACGUCUGUUCUGUUUAAAUUCAGUCAAUUCAUAAAGUCAUUUGUUUCUAAAGUCUUAGGAUAGCAUUCAUUAUUAGUGUUACAUAGAUUUCUGAAUUGACAGAAUUGAAACUCAUACACCGGAGAAUUCAGAUGCUCUUGUUGGUCUCUUACAAGACUAAAGGUCAAUAUAUUUCUUUCAUUUAAAACCACUUGAAAACCAGGGUGUUGAAACUGUUUGUGAAGUUAGAUUCCAUCGACUGGUCCAUGACGUCCAAGGGCCAUUUGUUUGUUUAGCUGUGUUAUGGCUACACAUUAUUUAUUUAUUUUCAGAGACAGAGACACACACACACCUCUCCUCCACUCCUCUCUGUACCUCAGAUCUCCAGUGUCCUGCCCUUUCUCUCUUUAUGGCCAUGUCUGCAGUUCCCCUACUACGUCUAGGCUUUAUGAGUAGUCCCUGUAUCUGUCUGCAGUUCCUCUACUACGUCUAGGCUUUAUGAGUAGUCCCUGUAUCUGUCUGAAGUUCCCCUACUACGUCUAGGCUUUAUGAGUAGUCCCUGUAUCUGUCUGCAGUUCCCCUACUACGUCUAGGCUUUAUGAGUAGUCCCUGUAUCUGUCUGCAGUUCCCCUACUACGUCUAGGCUUUAUGAGUAGUCCCUGUAUCUGUCUGCAGUUCCCCUACUAUGUCUAGGCUUUAUGAGUAGUCCCUGUAUCUGUCUGAAGUUCCCCUACUACGUCUAGGCUUUAUGAGUAGUCCCUGUAUCUGUCUGAAGUUCCCCUACUACGUCUAGGCUUUAUGAGUAGUCCCUGUAUCUCUCUGCAGUUCCCCUAUUACGUCUAGGCUUUAUGAGUAGUCCCUGUAUCUCUCUGCAGUUCCCCUACUACGUCUAGGCUUUAUCAGUAGUCCCUGUAUCUCUCUGCAGUUGUGCCAAAAAUACAUGCUCUUGUUGUUCUCUUCCAGAUUACACAUUCAUUUUUUAAAUUUUUUACACGCACACCUCUUUCAAUAGUUUUACGUUUUUAAACAUUUUUACAACACAAAUACCUGUCAUGUUCUUUCCUGUACUUGAU
rnacentral:lncRNA from 1 species